rnacentral:tRNA from 1 species
AUGUGCAAUGGCUUGUGGUGGACAAUGCAACGGCAUUUGCAGUGCCGAAACGGGAAGUUGCGCCAGUUGAUAAUGUUCAAGCACCUGAUGCGCCAGC